rnacentral:rRNA from 1 species
UACCAGCUCUCCGAGUGGUGUGGAUGUUUAUUGGGCCUAAAGCAUCCGAAGCUGGCUGGGCAAGUCCCCUGUUAAAUCCACCGAUUUAAUCGUUGGAGUGCGGGGGAUACUGUUCGGCUAGGGGACGGGAGAGGCAGACGGUAUUUUCGGGGUAGGGGUGAAAUCCUAUAAUCCCGGGAAGACCACCAGUGGCGAAGGCUGUCUGCUAGAACGCGCCCGACGGUGAGGGAUGAAAGCUGGGGGAGCGAACCGGAUUAGAUACCCGGGUAGUCCCAGCUGUAAACGAUGCAGGCUAGGUGUUUGGGCGGCCACGUGCCGCUCUAGUGCCGCAGGGAAGCCGUUAAGCCUGCCGCCUGGGGAGUACGGCCGCAAGGCUGAAACUUAAGGAAUUGGCGGGGGAGCACCACAAGGGGUGAAGCUUGCGGUUU